UACGGAGGGGGCUAGCGUUGUUCGGAAUCACUGGGCGUAAAGCGCGUGUAGGCGGUCCGUUAAGUCUGAUGUGAAAGCCCGGGGCUCACCCCCGGAAGUGCAUUGGAAACUGACGAACUCGAGUCCCGGAGAGGAGGGUGGAAUUCCUGGUGUAGCGGUGAAAUGCGUAGAUAUCAGGAGGAACACCGGUGGCGAAGGCGGCAUCCUGGACCGGCAUUGACGCUGAGGCGCGAAAGCUAGGGGAGCAAACGGG
rnacentral:rRNA from 1 species